rnacentral:rRNA from 1 species
CAGCAGCCACGGUAAUACGGAGGGAGCUAGCGUUGUUCGGAAUCACUGGGCGUAAAGCGCACGUAGGCGGCUAUUCAAGUCAGGGGUGAAAGCCCGGGGCUCAACCCCGGAACUGCCUUUGAAACUAGAUAGCUUGAAUCUUGGAGAGGCGAGUGGAAUUCCGAGUGUAGAGGUGAAAUUCGUAGAUAUUCGGAAGAACACCAGUGGCGAAGGCGACUCGCUGGACAAGUAUUGACGCUGAGGUGCGAAAGCGUGGGGAGCAAACAGGAUUAGAUACCCCCGUAGUCCCUGUCUCUUAUAC